rnacentral:ncRNA from 3 species
UACGUAGGGGGCAAGCGUUGUCCGGAAUUAUUGGGCGUAAAGCGCGCGCAGGCGGUCAUUUAAGUCUGGUGUUUAAUCCCGGGGCUCAACCCCGGAUCGCACUGGAAACUGGGUGACUUGAGUGCAGAAGAGGAGAGUGGAAUUCCACGUGUAGCGGUGAAAUGCGUAGAUAUGUGGAGGAACACCAGUGGCGAAGGCGACUCUCUGGGCUGUAACUGACGCUGAGGCGCGAAAGCGUGGGGAGCAAACAGG